UACGAAGGGUGCAAGCGUUAUUCGGAAUUACUGGGCGUAAAGCGUGCGCAGGCGGCGCGUUAAGACAGGUGUGAAAGCCCCGAGCUUAACUUGGGAAUUGCGCUUGUGACUGGCGUGCUGGAGUGUGGCAGAGGGAGGUGGAAUUCCACGUGUAGCAGUGAAAUGCGUAGAGAUGUGGAGGAACACCGAUGGCGAAGGCAGCCUCCUGGGCCAGCACUGACGCUCAUGCACGAAAGCGUGGGGAGCAAACAGG
rnacentral:rRNA from 1 species